UUGGUCCUUUUUGAGGAGGUCACAUAUCCUCUUGGUCAAAUUUUAGAUUUAAGCUCCUGGGUUUCCUCUUCUUCCAAAUAAAGCAUUCCCAGUACCUUGAAAAUAACGCAGCACCAACCAAUAAUGUACACUCUCCUAGCUGCUCUACACAGCUUACAUGGCCCUUGUUGCCAUCCCAAAAAAGGAUAACUGUGAUCAUACUGACUCUGGAAUAAUAAAAUAAGACAAUUCAUUUAAAAAAAAAUGGUUUAUAGUUUAACCCAGGACCUUGACCAUACUAGGCAAGUACUGUACUACUCAACCGCACCCCUAGCCCUAAAAUGGACCAAUUCUUAAAUGAUGUUGCUAUUUUUCUAUCCCUUCUAUACUUCUCUCUACUUGGAAAACUGCAGCAUAAGCUCUGUGGAUAAAAACAAUUGAACAGCCACAAGAAGGACCCAGGGAGAUGCAAGAAGCCCCAUCCAAAAUCUCUGGGUCUAGUCCAGGGCUGAGUUAGGAAGGGGGGGAAGUUUGAUUUGGUAUGAACUGUCAACUGUGCUAGUAAACUCUAUAUGAUCUUAAGCAAUGCAUAUUUAUUUAAUUUUAUGUGUAUAUGCGUGUAACAUAUAUAAAGGUGCUCACAGCGGCCAGAAAAGGGCACUGAUUCCCUUUAACUAGAAUCCCAUGCAGUUUUGAGGCAACUUUAGGUUCUAGGAACCAAACCCUGAUCCUGUGCAAGAGCUUCGAGUGCUGUUAUCUGCUAAGGCAUUUCCCAAGCCCCUAUCCUAGACUUCUAAAUAUUAAAAGAUGAGGUAAUUUAUUAAUUUUAAAAAACGCCUAGAAAGACUUUAAGAGAAAUUUUAAUCACGUGAGGAAAAAGGAAGAUGCCUGGCUGUCAAAGCUGCUUUUUAACAACCCAUUGAGAAGGAUGCUGCUGGCUUCAGCUCACACCUUGUCAUGAUCAUCCUCAGUGUGGCUCUGUGUUAUCUCCGGCUUUGCCAGCAGUAGAUUAAUGUUGCAAAUAACGUAAGGAUGCUUUCUCACUCAAUUCCUAGCAAACCUGAAAAACAGAACCUUUGUUCCCCGGCUCUUCUUCUUCCCUUUUGACAUUCCAGCAUCAUUACUAGCCUGACCAGAAUGAAAGAAAAAAGCUUGACAUUUGUCCCACAGGCAGGUGGGUUUGAAGGAUCUUGGUCCAGCCAAGUGAGCAUGGGAGGAGAAGGCCUUCUCUGAGUCGAUUUUCAGUGUUACAGAUCUUUUUAUACAGGGAAAGUGAAACAGCUCUCUUAGUUGUUUUUUUUUUUUUUUAAUUACAGUUUGUGAAGUAGAAUUGAGAGGUGCCUAUAAAUUAGACGAUCCAUAGUUAACUUUUUAGAGAAUGAAUGUUUAAAAGGAAUGACCAAUUCAAAAAAUUAUUUUUAUACAGUUCAAUUCUUAAAAGCUGCUAUAUUUUCUGGAGAUAUGGGUUUAUAAAUUGUAUCCGGAUUCUUAUAACAAGCUGAUAACUAGAACUAUCUCUCAUUCAAUAUGUUUCCUGUGCAAAAUCUUCAUAAGCGCUCUCUGUUUGGGAAUCAGCAAAGUGUGACUGGCAUAGUUCAGUGCCUCGUGAGAGCAUCAGAUGACAGAGAGAAAGAGGAGCAGUUGCGAGAUGAGCAACUACCUGCUUGUCAGCAGAGCUUUACCCUUGGCACCAUAUGGCUGAUGUCAUCUAUUUUGCAUUCUUGCAUAUUCUUUCUUUCCUGCAAAUUACCAGCUAAGUUGUAUAUUCACCUUAAAGGGAUUCAAAGAAUAAGGCAGGUUGUCAGAAUUGCCCACACAAUAUCAUAAAUCAGGCCACCCACUGAAGGGUUUAAUUGAAGUUACUUUGUGUUGAGUGGAUAAGUGGGAUCUGACUUUUGAUUCCACAGUUAGAGUGGAACAUUUUACAGAUGAUCACUGUCAUUUAUAAAGAAAAGAGAGUGAAGAAAAAGAGCAACUCAAAAUGUCUACUUUUUUUUUUUUUACAAAGAAACAGAUCUUUGUAGCAUAAUAUAUGCCUAUCCAGUAAGCUUUCUCCAUUGUGCUUCUCCCUAGACCUGCUCCAGAGAUACUUAAAGUGGCAGGUAGCACCAUUGGUGAAAAGAAAAGACUACGUCCCAAAACAUUUGCCCUUGAUGCUUUGAGAAUGAUGACUGUUUUAGUUUAGAUGCCCUCUUCCCACUGAGAGGUACACUUCUAUGCCAUCGAUCAAAAUGUGCAAAUUUCAUAUUGCUCCAGGUGGGGCCCAUUAUUCUAAUUAUUAUUAUUAUUUAUUAUUUUCCAGCACUAUCCACAGUGGCAGCUCUGGUCAAAAUGUCUAUGUUCUAGUAGGGACUGUUAUUUUUGUAUUUCCUAAGUGACAUCGAUUUGUAUGGCUAGCAUUUUAGCAAUAAACAGCAAAAUGUAACACUGGAGCCUGCUGUGAAGGGACGGCUACACAUUGAAUGAACACUGCAGGGACAUGAUCAUAAAUAUUCAUUAAGCAGGGUUUCAUUGAAAAUAAAAUUUAAGUACUUAAGGUAAUGCAAUACAAGGAGGUGAGAAGCUAUUUCCCCAUCACUAAGGAAGCAGGAAAGAAUGAGGUCAUCGAAGAAAAAGAAGAAAAAGGACUAGACCAGAGAAUGCCUUCCAAUACCCCAACGAGGAAUUAAUCAAGUGGAGUGUUAAUCCAAUUGUCAUAUCACUCCAGUCUUUCCAAAGUCCAAUAUUCAUAUGGUAGGCGUAAAUAGUGUCUUAAAAUAUCAUAAGUCAGGAAAUAACUGUCCCAGAGAAAAUUCCCAUAGAAGAUGUAAGGGAGUAUAGCUUCCUGGGGAUGACCACUGGAGAAGUCAAGAUGACUUCUACAUUUGCAUAGCGUUCAGGAAAUCACUGAAUUAAAAAGCACCCUUUCCUUCUUUUUUUAAGCAUGCUAAGGAAUUCAUGUCUGUGGCUAGAAAUAGUUUCUGAACAAGACUGACUGUCAUAGUUUCUUUUCCUAAACUGCUGUGAUAAAACGCACUAACCAAAGCAGCUCAAGAGAGAUUGCAUUUCUUUUGGUGCUCAGUAUGAGGUCUGAAUCCAUCCUGGAAAGAAGGUCACAACCUUAGAAGCUUGAGACAACUGACCACACCUCAUCCACAGUCAGAGUGCUGAGGGCUUGCUUGCUUCACUUCACACAGUCUUGAAUCCCAUCCGAUUCAAUGAUGCCACCCAUCAUGGCUGCCUCAACUAACUUAAGGAAAGCAAUCCCCACAGGCAAGCCCAGAUGCUUUCCUCUCAGGUGACUAAAUCUGGUCAAGCUGAUAAUUGAGAAUGACUAUCACAAACACCACAAAAUUAUCUACUGUUACAGGUUUCUAGUACUAAUUUCAAUAUGCUUAGAAAGCCUGAUGUCUCUGUGACUGCUUACUUCCAACUGAGAUUUUUACAUUUGUUACCUUCUCAAUCAAUGAAUAUUAGUGAUAACACUUGAAACAUUCUGUGUGAGAACAUACAAAUAGACAUGAAUUCCUUAACAUGAUC
rnacentral:lncRNA from 1 species